rnacentral:rRNA from 1 species
UGGGGAAUAUUGCACAAUGGGGGAAACCCUGAUGCAGCGACGCCGCGUGAACGAAGAAGGUCUUCGUAUCGUAAAGUUCUGUCCUAUGGGAAGAUAAUGACAGUACCAUAGAAGAAAGCUCCGGCUAAAUACGUGCCAGCAGCCGCGGUAAUACGUAUGGAGCGAGCGUUGUCCGGAAUUAUUGGGCGUAAAGGGUACGCAGGCGGUUUAAUAAGUCGAAUGUUAAAGAUCGGGGCUCAACCCCGUAAAGCAUUGGAAACUGAUAAACUUGAGUAGUGGAGAGGAAAGUGGAAUUCCUAGUGUAGUGGUGAAAUACGUAGAUAUUAGGAGGAAUACCAGUAGCGAAGGCGACUUUCUGGACACAAACUGACGCUGAGGUACGAAAGCGUGGGGAGCAAACAGG